GCCCGGGUGGUGGAAUGGUAUACACGAGGGACUUAAAAUCCCUUGGGAGCAAUCUCUUGUGAGUUCGAGUCUCACCCCGGGCA
rnacentral:tRNA from 5 species